rnacentral:lncRNA from 1 species
AUGGACUCCAAGAAAUCACAGUCCCGGCUAAUGGCCAUGGUCUCUCAGCUCCACUUUGUCCAGAUGUCAUCGACCCAGAUACCUCAGCUCCACUUUGUCCAGAUGUUGACCCAGAUACCUCAGCUCCACUUUGUCCAGAUGUCAUCGACCCGGAUACCUCAGCUCCACUUCGUCCAGAUGUCAUCGACCCGGAUACCUCAGCUCCACUUCGUCCAGAUGUCAUCGACCCGGAUACCUCAGCUCCACUUCGUCCAGAUGUCAUCGACCCGGAUACCUCAGCUCCACUUUGUCCAGAUGUCAUCGACCCAGAUACCUCAGCUCCACUUCGUCCAGAUGUCAUCGAGGCUCACCACACUGGACAGUGGUGCAUUGUGAACUAGGAUGAACAACCAUACCCUGGCGUUAUACUGGAGGUCAAAGAACAAAAGGUCAAAGUGCAUGCACAGGAAUGGAGUCAACAAGCCCAAGAGAUGAUAAACUGGUAUGGGGAUGUUCAAAUUGUGUGUCUGAUGCGAUACCCGCUGCCAGUGAACAAAAGGUCAUCUCAGAUUUACCACAGUAUCUGGAAGUAAUUGGAGGACCACCUGAAUGUGUGAAAGUGGCAGAUGUGAACUGGCCAGCAGAGAAGAAGCCGUCAGUGGCUAGAAAACAAUGGAGACUGUCCCGGAAAUGAUGAGAUGGAAUUGACACAAUAAUAUGGGAAAGACAAACAUAUGGACAAACUUUUCUAAAGACAAACAUAAAGACAAACAUCAAGUAAAAGUGAAGUUAGUAUGGGAAAUAAUUAGUAGGGGAAAAGUUAGUACAGAAAAUAGGCCUAUUCCAUUAACAUGUUUUACUGCAUACAAUAUGCUAAUAUCAGUGCUUUUGGAAAAACUGUCUUAGUUUACAUUCAAUGUUGUUUCUAUUGUUCUUGUUUCCAGUUCUAAUAGAGAUGUUAUGUUUCUAUAGUUCUAAUAGAGAUGUUAUGUUUCUAUAGUUCUAAUAGAUGUUAUGUUUCUAUAGUUCUAAUAGAUGUUAUGUUUCUAUAGUUCUAAUAGAUGUUAUGUUUCUAUAGUUCUAAUAGA